rnacentral:rRNA from 1 species
AACGAACGCUGGCGGCGUGGAUAAGACAUGCAAGUCGAACGGGAACUUCAGCUGUAGCAAUACAGUUGAAGUUUUAGUGGCGAACGGGUGCGUAACACGUGGGCAAUCUGCCGAGAAGUGGGGGAUAGCUCGCCGAAAGGCGAAUUAAUACCGCAUAUGAUCAGCUAAGACAUCUUAGCGACAUCAAAGCCGGGGCAACCUGGCGCUUUUUGAGGAGCCCGCGGCCUAUCAGCUAGUUGGUGAGGUAACGGCUCACCAAGGCUAUGACGGGUAGCUGGUCUGAGAGGACGACCAGUCACACUGGAACUGAGACACGGUCCAGACACCUACGGGUGGCAGCAGUCGAGAAUUUUUCUCAAUGGGGGCAACCCUGAAGGAGCGACGCCGCGUGGAGGAUGAAGGCUUUCGGUUGUAAACUCCUGUCAUUUGAGAACAAGGUGCAUCGGUUAACUGCCGGUGCAUUGAUAGUAUCAGAAGAGGAAGAGAC